GAUGAACGCUGGCGGCGUGCCUAAUACAUGCAAGUCGAACGUGAGCUCAAUUUCGGUUGGGUGAAAGUGGCGAACGGGUGAGUAACACAUGGCUGACCUGCCCUUCAGCGGGGGAUAACUACUGGAAACGGUGGCUAAUACCGCGUACGUUCGUGGGGAUUAGAAGCCCACGAGGAAAGCUUCGGCGCUGAAGGAGGGGGCUGUGACCCAUCAGCUAGUUGGUAGGGUAAGAGCCUACCAAGGCGAGGACGGGUAGGGGGCCUGAGAGGGUGACCCCCCACACUGGCACUGAGAGACGGGCCAGACUCCUACGGGAGGCAG
rnacentral:rRNA from 1 species